rfam:Aphanomyces astaci strain APO3 cont1.345, whole genome shotgun sequence.
CACCUGGUGUUUUUCAACACCACCCUUCACGCCAAGAAGCAUAUCGU